CAACACCUGGCUGGCUAGGACGUGUCGGAAUCCCGAAUCACGUGCUUGACUUGACGUAUGCGCUCGCGAAAUUUCGAAAGUGUAAUUAGUAGUACCAUUUUGUUUUUGUGGGGGGUUGUCUCUCAUUUUCCUCAGCCCUCUCUGGUUUACGCUGCAUCUCUCAUCCUCUCUUGGCCUGCCGCCGAUUCCAGCCUGCAGGUAGAAUUAUUUAUUUAUGGGUCCAAGUAUAGUGAAGGAGAUCAUAUAUGGGGCAACGAUUGGGCUGUCGGUUGGGUUUCUUUGGAAAAUGUAUCACUGGAAUCUUCAGAGGAGAACCAAGGAAUUUUAUGAGCUGCUCGAUAGAGGCGAAAUCUCCACUGUUGUCGAAGAUGACUAGGCUAGGCUUAAUUACUUUGUUAAUUAUCUAGUUAACAACUUUUCUUUGGUUAUUUGCAUUGAAGGCAUGUAUUAUGUAUAUAUAAUAAUAGCUUUGCAUGUGUAAUAUAUGUUUAUUUCCGGAGAUUUGCAUGUUGGGAUUAAUGUAAGGAGGAGCUUUCAACAAAGAGCA